UGAGGAAUAUUGGUCAAUGGACGAGAGUCUGAAUCAGCCAAGUAGCGUGAAGGAUGACUGCCCUAUGGGUUGUAAACUUCUUUAUACGGGAAUAAAGUUUGCCACGUGUGGCAUUUGUAUGUACCGUAUGAAUAAGGAUCGGCUAACUCCGUGCCAGCAGCCGCGGUAAUACGGAGGAUCCGAGCGUUAUCCGGAUUUAUUGGGUUUAAAGGGAGCGUAGGCGGAUGCUUAAGUCAGUUGUGAAAGUUUGCGGCUCAACCGUAAAAUUGCAGUUGAUACUGGGUGUCUUGAGUACAGUAGAGGUAGGCGGAAUUCGUGGUGUAGCGGUGAAAAUGCUUAGAUAUCACGAAGAACUCCGAUUGCGAAGGCAGCCUGCUGGACUGUACUGACGCUGAUGCUCGAAAGUGUGGGGUAUCAAACAGGAUUAGAUACC
rnacentral:rRNA from 1 species